rnacentral:rRNA from 1 species
CGCAUCUGUGCAUGCAGCAUAUCAAUAAGCGGAGGAAAAGAAACUAACAAGGAUUCCCCUAGUAACGGCGAGUGAAGCGGGAAGAGCUCAAAUUUGAAAUCUUAAAGGGUUUCCCUUUACGAAUUGUAGUUUAAAGAAGUGUUUUCUGUUGAGGUUUUGGUAAAAGUUCUUUGGAAUAGGACAUCAUAGAGGGUGAGAAUCCCGUAUUUGACCUUUACUUUCAACUUUGUGAUACACUUUCAAAGAGUCGGAUUGUUUGGGAAUGCAGUCCAAAAUGGGUGGUAAAUUUCAUCUAAAGCUAAAUAUUGGCGAGAGACCGAUAGCGAACAAGUACCGUGAGGGAAAGAUGAAAAGAACUUUGAAAAGAGAGUUAAACAGUACGUGAAAUUGUCAAAAGGGAAGCGUUUGACACCAGUGUUGUUUUUCUGAAAAUCAAUUAAAGAACUGUUUAUGCUAAGUUGUUUAGACUUUAUCAGCUAACUGUUUAGUUUUGAGCUUUUCUUCAAUGCACUUUUCAGGUUAACAAGUCAACAUCAAUUUCUUUUGCUGUAAAAAAGCUUGAGGAAGGGUGGCUUGAGAUUCGUCUUAAGUGUUUAUAGCCUCUUGCCUAUGCAGUCGGAGAGAUUGAGGUCUGCAGCGUAGAUCCUUCGGGGCUAAAUGCAUUUGUGCUAAGUUAUAGCAUUUUAUAGACAACUUGUUGACUAUGAUUUGUCUUGUAGCUUACUCGCUUAUGUUAUUUUACCUACGCUUAGGAUGUUGAACGCGCACAGAGUCUC